UACGUAGGGUGCAAGCGUUAAUCGGAAUUACUGGGCGUAAAGCGUGCGCAGGCGGUUAUAUAAGACAGAUGUGAAAUCCCCGGGCUCAACCUGGGAACUGCAUUUGUGACUGUAUAGCUAGAGUACGGCAGAGGGGGAUGGAAUUCCGCGUGUAGCAGUGAAAUGCGUAGAUAUGCGGAGGAACACCGAUGGCGAAGGCAAUCCCCUGGGCCUGUACUGACGCUCAUGCACGAAAGCGUGGGGAGCAAACAGGAUUAGAUACCCCCGUAGUCC
rnacentral:rRNA from 1 species